rfam:Schistosoma mattheei strain Denwood, Zambia genome assembly, scaffold: SMTD_scaffold0002021
AUCCAGCUAGUGAGUCCCAAAUAGGACGAAACGCGCGUCCUGGAU